GAUGAACGCUGGCGGCGUGCCUAAUACAUGCAAGUCGAGCGAACGGACGAGGAGCUUGCGGCUCUGAUGUUAGCGGCGGACGGGUGAGUAACGCGUGUAUACCCUCCCUGUAUGAGUGGGAUAACUUCGGAACACCGGCGCUUAUACCGUAGAAGAUUUUGCACCGCGUGGGUCGAAGGUGAAAUACGGUCUUUGUGUCUCUUAUAGAUGGAUACGGGCUUUAUUAGGUAGUUGGUAAGGUAACGGGUUACCAAGGCAACGAGGCGUAGCCGAGCGGCGAGGGUGAUCGGCGACAUGGGAACGGAGCCGCGGUCCAUGCGCCUACGGGAGGCAGCAGUAGGGAACCGUCCGCAAUGGGCGAAAGCCUGACGGAGCAACGCGGCGUGAGAGAUGACAGCCCUCGGAUCGUAAAACUCUGUUAUUAGGGAAGAACCGAUGUGGACGUAACUGUGCACAUCUUGACGGUACCUAAUCAGAAAGCCACGGCUAACUACGUG
rnacentral:rRNA from 1 species